GACGAACGCUGGCGGCGUGCUUAACACAUGCAAGUCGAACGGAAAGGCCCUGCUUUUGUGGGGUGCUCGAGUGGCGAACGGGUGAGUAACACGUGAGUAACCUGCCCUUGACUUUGGGAUAACUUCAGGAAACUGGGGCUAAUACCGGAUAGGAGCUCCUGCUGCAUGGUGGGGGUUGGAAAGUUUCGGCGGUUGGGGAUGGACUCGCGGCUUAUCAGCUUGUUGGUGGGGUAGUGGCUUACCAAGGCUUUGACGGGUAGCCGGCCUGAGAGGGUGACCGGCCACAUCGGGACUGAGAUACGGCCCAGCCUCCUACGGGAGGCAGCAGUGGGGAAUAUUGCACAAUGGGAGGAAGCCUGAUGCAGCCACGCCGCGUGCGGGAUGACGGCCUUCGGGUUGUAAACCGCUUUCGCCUGUGACGAAGCGUGAGUGACGGUAAUGGGUAAAGAAGCACCGGCUAACUACGUG
rnacentral:rRNA from 1 species